AGGGUUUGAUUAUGGCUCAGAACGAACGCUGGCGGCAUGCCUAACACAUGCAAGUCGAACGAACCCUUCGGGGUUAGUGGCGCACGGGUGCGUAACGCGUGGGAACCUGCCUUUAGGCUCGGAAUAACAGUUAGAAAUGACUGCUAAUACCGGAUAAUGUCUUCGGACCAAAGAUUUAUUGCCUUUAGAUGGGCCCGCGUUGGAUUAGAUAGUUGGUGGGGUAAUGGCCUACCAAGUCGACGAUCCAUAGCUGGUCUGAGAGGAUGAUCAGCCACACUGGGACUGAGACACGGCCCAGACUCCUACGGGAGGCAGCAGUGGGGAAUAUUGGACAAUGGGCGAAAGCCUGAUCCAGCAAUGCCGCGUGAGUGAUGAAGGCCUUAGGGUUGUAAAGCUCUUUUACCAGGGAUGAUAAUGACAGUACCUGGAGAAUAAGCUCCGGCUAACUCCGUGCCAGCCGCCGCGGUAAUAC
rnacentral:rRNA from 1 species